GCGGUAGCUCAGUGGUACAGCAUCUGCUUCGCGUGCAGAAGGUCGUGAGCUCAAGCCCCAGCAUCUCCA
rnacentral:tRNA from 1 species